UGACCAUGUUCUAUAUAUUAAAACCACUCCUUUGGACUUGUGAACUUGCUUUUUUAAUGUUUUACAUAUUUAAUGUAUUACUCUUCAAGUGCUGACAUGGGUCCGAGGUCGAGCCCAACUAUAUUGCCGACUGCAAUGUCGGAAACACGUAGCAUGCAAACAUCGUCUGUUGCACCGGCUCGUGUUGACCCGCCCACUGGUGGAGAUGCACAUGAGGAUGCGCCAGAGGCGAGUACUGCUGAUAACAUACCAUCAUUUCUUGGAUCUUCCCGUAUUGCUAGUACGGGAAUGUUGCAAGCCACAUUGGUGGUGAGCGACGAAGAAUUGAUUCCCUUGAAGAUACAGAAGGUUCCAGGAAAUGAUAUUUUUUAUAAAAAUCUUAAUGACAUUUCAUUGCAGAUAUUUGGGCCCACCAUACGUAAAAGGUGGAAUGACCAAGAAAAAAAAGUUAAAAGAUGAACUCACAAACCAUAUGGUAGGGUUGUUUGGAAAUGACACAUUCGACAAGACUAAGCUCCUGGAAAAAGCUGGCACAUAUCUGAAGUACGUGAGGGACCAAUAUAGGACACAUUUAGAGAAGAACGUAAAGUAUGAGCGUCCCCCCAUGAUUCCAGAGAGGGAGUGGAAGGACCUGAUUUUGGAUGCAAAGGAGAGAAUUGAAAGGAAAAAAGGAAAUACACCACCAGACGCCAGAAGAAGAUUGAGUGACACGUCAAAGGCAACCAAGGCAAGACAAGAAAAGCAUAGGCAACACAAACUCAGCUCUGGUGGUUAUAUGAAACUUGCUGCACGAAUUGACUCUGAAUUCAAUAGAGCGCCCACAGAAGAUGACAAGAGAAUUGGCUACCAGUAAGGCUAUAUAGCCGUGGCUGAAUGGCUACGAGAAUUGAGUGGGCAAACACGAGAUUCUGAUGCAUCUGUCACAACGCAUGAUAAUUGUGGAACAGAACCUGUACAUGAAGGUUCGGAUGUGCAUCCUAGUAGUGGAGAGCAUUUAGUUGGUGGUGACCAAGUGGAGCAUGAUCCGAGUAGACAACAUCAGGAACGUGUUGUUCCCCAAUCAGAGGAUCUAGAGGGUGCUCAGCAUGUCGAGGUUGAGGCUAGACAAAAUGAUGUGGAAGAUGAUGUGGCCCCAUCAGAGGACCCCCCAUUGGUUUAGCAUCCUCAUCCUUUGUAUAGGACUAGGCAUACAUCAAGAGCACAAGAAGAGGGCAUAACAUCCGCAGAUGGGGGAAAUGAUGAAGAAACCGAUGUUCCACUUAGUCUUUUCAUAGCUUAAAAAAGAAAACAAAGAAAGAAAUGAUUGUAAUCUACCUUAUUUGAU